ACGAUUGUGAUGAAAUUGGUAGACAUAGUACACUUAAGCUGUUCGGGCUUAUGCCGUGUGGGUUCGAAUCCCUCCAAUCGUA
rfam:Candida albicans SC5314 mitochondrion, complete genome.